GCCAAUUAUUAUUUUCAUUUCUCUGUGGUAAUGUGCAUUAUCUAAACCAUGGAUAUUCAAGGUGACAACUGAAAUUCAGAUUAAAAAUUUUUUCAUUGUUAUUAUUCUAUUUAUUAUUUACUUACCAACAGGACACCUGGAAUUGUACCUCUUUGUAUUUAAAUUAAAUGAAUUGGUGUGGAUGUUGGGUUGCUUCAGGAUAUUCAUUUUCUUUCUCCCUCUGCAGCUUCUGGAUUUCAAGCAAUUCAUAAUUCUCCUUAGAUUCCUGACCUAGAACUGUCUAAGGAAUCCUUUGGUACUACUGCUGCUGAAGUAUUGUCAUUCAGUGUGAGUGGGAGGUGAUGGCCCUGAGUGGGGUGACCACAAAACACACGAGGAAAAGGAGAGGCUAUGGGUCAUAAUUCAAGCCAAUCACAAUGGUAGCUACAAUGCAAUGUGUCAAAGGACCACUCAACAUCCAUUUGACCUUCAGCAGAGACAAAAUUUCUCAAUUGAGAUUUCUUAAAGAGAGAAGAGAAAGAGAAAGAAGAGGCCCAGGCUCAUAUCAGUGGAGUCCCUCCUCUUAAUACGGAAAACAAAGACAUCCUUGUUAAAUGCAACCAGAUGGGAUUCAGCCACAUGACCACCAUCAAUUGAUCUUUGACUAAGGGGAAUAACAUUACCAUGACCAGUCGUGGCCAAGGUGACCAGCCGCUACCAAAACUGUUGGCUCCCCUUCAUGAAUGGUUACUAAAAAGGAGCUUUGUAGACAGGGCUACAUUUCCAAGCCUCUCCUGAAUCUAAAUAAAGACAUGUGACUAGAUCCUGCCA
rnacentral:lncRNA from 1 species